rnacentral:rRNA from 1 species
GGAAUAUUGCACAAUGGGCGAAAGCCUGAUGCAGCGACGCCGCGUGAGGGAUGAAGGCCUUCGGGUUGUAAACCUCUUUCAGUAGGGAAGAAGCGAAAGUGACGGUACCUGCAGAAGAAGCGCCGGCUAACUACGUGCCAGCAGCCGCGGUAAUACGUAGGGCGCAAGCGUUGUCCGGAAUUAUUGGGCGUAAAGAGCUCGUAGGCGGUUUGUCGCGUCUGGUGUGAAAACUCAAGGCUCAACCUUGAGCUUGCAUCGGGUACGGGCAGACUAGAGUGUGGUAGGGGUGACUGGAAUUCCUGGUGUAGCGGUGGAAUGCGCAGAUAUCAGGAGGAACACCGAUGGCGAAGGCAGGUCACUGGGCCACUACUGACGCUGAGGAGCGAAAGCAUGGGGAGCGAACAGGAUUAGAUACCCGGG